AGAACUUUGAAAGCUUUACCAGAAUUUUGAAGGCACAUAUCAAGAUGCGUUGCAUUUUAUUUUGGGGAGCAAUUUUAUGGAUGUAUUCAUCUGAAACAAAAGCUGGUUAUUCAGUGCCGCUCCAGCCAUCCAGAGAAUCCCCAGCCGCCCUGCCCCUCUCGUUCCUGUGCAGCAAGCAACAAGCAGCAGUAUCCAAUACGAUACCGAUACUUUUCAAUAAAUAAGGGCUCCAACAUGUGUUUGUACUGCAUGGAAAGGACUUACACUUGGAUGUAGAGAAACCUGUUGUACUUGACAAAAAGAGUGACUUUUUCUGGAGGUUUAAUACCACUAGUUAUGUUGGUAAAAUUAGUUAUAAUAAAGAGGCAGUAUUGUUUGACAGCUAUGAAGGAAGAGCUGAUGCUUUUGGACAUAAUUACUCUUUGGUAUUGAAAAAUGUAAAACACGAUGACAGUGGAGAUUAUACUGCAGUAGUGACUGGGGGAAAAGAGCAAAGGCCAGCUGAAUACAAGGUCAUAGUCCAAGAUCCAGUGUCUGCAGUUAAUCUGACAUUGACCUCCAGCAGCUCAGACUCCUGUAACCUGACUGUAACCUGCACUAUAGUGGAGCUGAACAUCAGCCGGACUUUUAGAUGUGAUGCUCACAACUGCUCUCUGUUGGAAGAAAAUCUCAGCACCACAGACAUGUUUUCCUCUCUGAUUGUUUACUUGCAGCAAGACACCGUCUUUUGUAAUCACAGCAAUGACGUAAGCUGGAAAAAUAGCACAAUGGUGCUAAAAUCUCAAUGUGACAUGAAGUCAGGCCACAUAGAUGCCAACAAUACCAUCGUGACUGUGUGUGUUGUUGUUGCCAUCAUCAUAAUCCUUGUUGUAGGUUAUAUUCAUCAUCGAACAAAACAAAAAAAUACCAGAGAAACCAUUGAAAACACAGUGUAUGCAGUUCCUGAGGUUAUCCAAACAACACCACCCGUGGAACAGAGUCCAAUCAGUGAUGCUUCUCCAACAUCCACCUAUAGCUUUGUGAGACCUCACUCUGGACCCAACGGAUCCACUGAGGCCAGAAGCAAAGCUUUGCCUGAGAGCUUGUAUGCCCAGGUAGAAUACAAUCCCAGAUCCUAAAACCUCUUCAGAAAUUCUAAUUCAAAGUUUAAAAAGUAACUGCCUACCAAAGGCAAUACAAUUGUCAAAGUCCUCUUGGAGAAAAAAAAAGGGAAGAAGAGAAAGUAUAUCACACAUGUAGAGAAAGAUUUUAUGUUGAGGACUAACUGAGGCUUCUGUAAGGUGUGCUUUUGAUGGACUCAUGAACUUUCCUACAGUGUUCUGGUUUCUAUA